AAUCCAGAGUUUGACAUGGCUCAGGACGAACGCUGGCGGCGUGCCUAAUACAUGCAAGUCGAGCGAACUUCUUUAGAGCUUGCUUUAAAGAAGUUAGCGGCGGACGGGUGAGUAACACGUGGGCAACCUGCCUGUAAGACUGGGAUAACUUCGGGAAACCGGAGCUAAUACCGGAUAAUAUAUAGUACCUCCUGGUACUAUAUUGAAAGAUGGUUUCGGCUAUCACUUACAGAUGGGCCCGCGGCGCAUUAGCUAGUUGGUGAGGUAACGGCUCACCAAGGCAACGAUGCGUAGCCGACCUGAGAGGGUGAUCGGCCACACUGGGACUGAGACACGGCCCAGACUCCUACGGGAGGCAGCAGUAGGGAAUCUUCCACAAUGGGCGAAAGCCUGAUGGAGCAACGCCGCGUGAGUGAAGAAGGAUUUCGGUUCGUAAAACUCUGUUGUAAGGGAAGAACAAGUACAGUAGUAACUGGCUGUACCUUGACGGUACCUUAUUAGAAAGCCACGGCUAACUACGUGCCAGCAGCCGCGGUAAUACGUAGGUGGCAAGCGUUGUCCGGAAUUAUUGGGCGUAAAGCGCGCGCAGGUGGUUUCUUAAGUCUGAUGUGAAAGCCCACGGCUCAACCGUGGAGGGUCAUUGGAAACUGGGAGACUUGAGUGCAGAAGAGGAUAGUGGAAUUCCAAGUG
rnacentral:rRNA from 2 species